rnacentral:rRNA from 1 species
UGGUGGUCAUAGCGUGAGUGAAACACCCGGUCCCAUCCCGAACCCGGCAGUUAAGCACCACCGCGCCAAUGGUACUGCGUCUUAAGACGUGGGAGAGUAGGUCACCGCCAAUCC